rnacentral:lncRNA from 1 species
AUGGGCCUAGCCUCCCCGCCUAUAUCUUCGGAUGCUUCCUACCCUCGAACAUCGAACUCCAAGUUCUUCAGUUUUGAGACCCGGACUGGCUCUCCUUGCUCCUCAGCUUACAUGCGGCCUAUUGUGGGACCCUAUGAUCAUAUGAAGAAACAGAUCCACAGAAGUGAAGUAAGUGGCUCCACUGCCCUCCCUCACGCAGUCCAGUGGUUGUCGGUGUGCAAGUUCAUCUCUGCCCUGAACGAUGAGCUUCCUGAGAGCAAGGAAGCUUGUUCACUGUUUAGUCCCAGAUACUUAGUAUGGGCUCAGUAGAUGGGAGCCCUCACCAAUCCUUGGUGAAUAAAUAAAUGAAUGAUGAGUGAGUAGACGAAUGCAAGUUUGGCAUACCGUGGACCAUGGACGAUAAACAUGUAUUAGUACCUGUGGUGGGCAGAAUAAUCCCCACCACCCCCCAAAUCUUAAUCCCUGGAACCUGUGAAUUUGCCAUGUUACUUGGCAGAGGGAAAGGAAGGUUGCAGAUGGAAUGAAAGUUGCUAAUCAGCUGACUUUAAAAUAGGGACAUCAUCCUGGAUUAUCUAGGUGGGUCCAGAGUAAUCACGUGGGUCUUCAAAAAUGGAAGAGGGAGGCAGGAGGGAACAAAAGAAAUGGCUGGACAAUGUUGCUGAAUUUGAAGAUAGAGAAAGAGCCACAAGCCAAGGAAAGCAUGCAGCGUCUAGAAGCUGGAAAAGGGACGGAAGUGGAUUCUCCCCUACAGCUGCCAAAAGAAGGGCAGCCCUGCUGACAUCUUGAUUCCAGCCCAGAGACCCAUUUCAGACAUAGGCCCUCCAGAACUGUAAGAAAAUACAUUUGUGUUGUUUUAAAGGCAAAAAUGUGAUUUUUUUUUUUUUUUUUGAGACGGAGUUUUGCUCUGUUGCCCAGGCUGGAGUGCAAUGGUGCAAUCUCAGCACACUGCAACCUCUACCUCCUAGGAUCAAGUGAUUCUCCUGCCUCAGCCUCCCAAGUAGGUGGGAUUACAGGCAUGUGCCACCACAUCCAGCUACAUUUUUUUGUAUUUAGUAGAGUCCGGGUUUCACUAUGUUGGUCAGCAAGUCUUGAACUCCUGACCUCAGGUGAUCCACCCACUUCUACCCCCCAAUGUGCUGGAAUUACAGGUGUGAGCUGCUGCACGCAGCCCACAAACAUGAUUUUUGACAGUUGCCAAAAAAAAAAUGAAUAUAAUGCCCUAUCCCCGAUGCCAAGAAUCCCAUCUCACCUUAGCGGCCACUCCUCACCUGAUGGUUGAAUUGCACUGGGGUAUUGCUAUAAACACCCACUUACUAUCAGGAAAGAUGUGUAGGAAAAAAGUGCUUUUAAAAAAAUUUAUAUAUUGGAGUCUAAUGGGGAGGUGUCAAGGUGGGACAGAAUUUGGUCCUGAGACAGAACUAUUGGUUCAGCAGGUUGGGCUGGGUGGAUCACAGUGACACCAGGAGCCUUCUAGAGAAGGGAGUCACAGGCUGGUGAGUGAGCAGUGAUGCUGAACAGGUAGACGUCAGCAUCUUGGGACCACCUAUGGCCUCAGGCUGGGGUCCCUGCAUAAUCAUUAGGGCCACCAUGCAUUGAAUCUAGACCCUCUGCCAGACAGGAUCCUAAGCCUCCCACAACAUCAGCACAACAGUCCAUUAUGUAGGCCCCAUGAUGUGCCUGCCUGCCAGAGGAAAGAACAGUCAGCCCUCGUGUACUCCUCCACCGUGCCAGACACUGUUCCAAGAGUGGCACAUCCUUAACCCAUUCAGUCCUCAUAACAGCCCCAUGUGAUGGCUCCCAUCGUUGUCCCCAGUUUACAGAUUGGGAAACUGAGGCCUAGAAAGGAAGUCACUUGCCCACUCGCACAGCCAGCAAUUGGGUCUGAACAAAGGCAGUGUGGCCCUAGGCUCUCUGUUCUUUUUCUUUUUUCGUUUUUGAGACAGGAUCUCCCACUGUCACCCAGGCUGGAGUGCAGUGGUGCAAUCAGGGUUCACUGCAGCCUUGACCUCCUGGGCUCAAGCAAUUCCUCCCGCCUCAGCCUUCAGAAGUGCUGAGAUUACAGGCCUGAGCAACCGCACUCAGCUGUGGGUCUCUUUUCUUAACCACUAUGCUUUACUGCCUCUUUAGAUGGAAUAAUAAUUAUUUCAUAAUUAUAUAUCUGUUAAUAUAAUAGUUUAAAAAUUGAAUGGCCAGGCGCAGUGGCUCUCGCCUGUAAUCCCAGCACUUUGGGAGGCCAAGGUGGGCAGAUCACCUGAACUCAGGAGUUUGAGACCAGCCUGAUCAACAUGACAAAACCCCAUCUAUACUAAUACAAAACAUUAGCUGGGCCUGGUAGUGCAUGCCUGUAAUCCCAGCUACUCGGAAGGCUGAGGUAGGAGAAUUGUUUAAACCUGGGAAGCAGAGGUUGCGGUAAACUGAGAUUACGCCGUUGCACUCCAGCCUGGGCAACAAGAGCAAAACUCCGUCUCAAAAAAAAAAAAUUAAAUAAUUAUGGUACCAAAAUAUGCCAUUUUAGCACAUUGGUUAUUUUGAGCUGAAGUCAACUGAGAAGAAGCAGAUACAAGAAGAACUCUCUGGCCUCCCCCUAUUUGCCUAAAAGCAGGAUAUAAAUUUGUAAAGGUGUCUCUUCUUCGCUCUCUCCCAGGAAGAACAGAAGUUAAUCAACAUAGACAACUUUGGACCCUUAGCCAGAGGGCACCAGAGGAAUCUACAAAACAAACCUGAUUCACCCACCCCAUCCUCCCUUAGUUUCUCCAUGUAUUUACCCUCCCACAACUUGCCUCCCUAGAAGCUCUAAUUCUUUUCACUUUGUCUUGUCACUUCUCUAAUAAUUUAUCGUUCUUCUGUCAGGAUGCUGCAUCAGCCCAAGUUCUAACCACUCCUUUGAGUUACUCAUCCUUGUAACGUGUGUGUGAUGCACAUGUUCAUACACUUCUGCUUUUUUUUUGUUAAUCUGUCUUUGUCAGCCUUGUUUACAGGAUCCCGGCCAGAAAUCAAGGAGGAGAGAAGGAAAAAUCAUCUUUCUUUUCUCCCCUACAAUACCACCUCCCAUUUGGAUCAGGCCUUUCUGUUUAUGACACAUUCUCCUGUUUUCUCUUGUCAUCCUCCCAGUGGCUGGUUAUGAUGAUGAGUGCCCUUGGCUCUCAUUUUGGGAAAUAGCACAGAGAGGGAGACACUUAGUCAUCCACAAUCCGAGACAAGAGUGGGAUUCCUUCUGGGGUCUCCUGCCUCCAAGUGC